AGUGAACGCUGGCGGUAGGCCUAACACAUGCAAGUCGAACGGCAGCACAGUAAGAGCUUGCUCUUACGGGCGGCGAGUGGCGGACGGGUGAGGAAUACAUCGGAAUCUACUUUUUCGUGGGGGAUAACGUGGGGAAACUUACGCUAAUACCGCAUACGACCUACGGGUGAAAGCAGGGGAUCUUCGGACCUUGCGCGAUUGAAUGAGCCGAUGUCGGAUUAGCUAGUUGGCGGGGUAAAGGCCCACCAAGGCGACGAUCCGUAGCUGGUCCGAAAGGCUGAUGCGCCAGCCUGGAAGUGAGUCACGGUCAAGCAUCCUAUGGGAGGCACUGGUGGGGAAUUUUGGAGAACGGGCGCAAGCGUGUCACAGCCAUCCCGCGUGGGUGAAGAAGGCAUUCGGGUUGUAAAGGCGUUCUGUUGAGAAAGAAAAGCAGCAGGUUCGUACCCAGCUGUUCUGACGUUAGCAAAAUAAUAGGCACCGGCUAACUUCGUG
rnacentral:rRNA from 1 species